UCCGUGGUUGACAUUCCCAGCCAACAGCCCACAUCACUGUGAGAGAGCCAUCGUGGAUGUCCUGGCUAGUUGAGCCCUACACUCCUGUUCAACCUCCAUCUGAUUGCAAUUUCAUGGGCGACCCAAAAGAAAAUACCUAGAAGUGAGUUUGCUGGACCAUGACUAUGUGGUUGUGAACUGACUGAAAUAGUUCGGGUCCUGGGAGAAGAUAUAUACAACACUCAAAAAGUUUAAUUGAGGAAAGUUAAAUGAAGGCCAUAUUUUGAUGGCUAUGAUCUGGAUUAAGGGGACAGACGUGGAAUGAUCAAUAACCCCACAUGAAGCCAUUGCCACCCCUCCGCUGGAAGGCACAAUGAUAAGAAUGAAGUAUCCCAGGAACGUGGAGAUGGCUCAAAGCUCUGGAAGAAGAACACCUGCCUCCAUCAGGGACUGAUACCUUGGUGAUCAGCCACUACCACAACCACAGUCAAGAAUGGCUGG